rnacentral:rRNA from 1 species
UACAGAGGUCUCAAGCGUUGUUCGGAUUCAUUGGGCGUAAAGGGUGCGUAGGUGGCGGGGUUAGUCAGGUGUGAAAUCUCGGGGCUCAACCCCGAAACUGCACUUGAUACUGCCUUGCUAGAGUACUGGAGAGGAGAUUGGAAUUUACGGUGUAGCAGUGAAAUGCGUAGAUAUCUGGAGGAACACCGGUGGCGAAGGCGGCAUCCUGGACCGGUAUUGACGCUGAGGCGCGAAAGCCAGGGGAGCAAACGGG